rnacentral:ncRNA from 2 species
GUUCAUCUUCAAGGGGCAGGGUGCGAUUCCCGACCGGUGGUAAAGUCCAUGAGCUGUCAUUCGUGAUGGCUGAUUCGGUGAAAUUCCGAAACCGAUAGUUAAAGUCUAGAUAAAGGAAGAUUGAA